GUGAGAAUUGGAAUUCAGGAGCAAUUGUGGCAAUCAUCAUUGUUCCGGUGAUACUUGUCGUUUUAAUCAUAGCUGGAGUCUUUACUAAGAAUAUAAAUUGUAAUUCGUAUCACCCAAACGAAGCAGGGAAUUGAAUGACUCCAUGACUGAUUUGGAUAAAGGAUCACCUGAACUCUAAGAAAGAAAACACAAUCUAAGUUUGGUUGCAGACAAGUCAUAUCAUCUACCCUAUUAUCUAAAAAAAAAGCCCAUAACAUCAUCAUGUCGUUAAGACUUACAAGAUAAGACAUUGUAAUGGCAUCACGACUUUUGGGUCACCCUGUAGUAGUUCACACUUGUAAACAAUGAGAAGGGAUUCUUUGGAAAUGUACUUUUUUUUGGCAACAGAAAAUGUAUUGUCAGGUUCUCGAUUUACUCUUAAAGCCCGUCAUUGAAAAGCAACCUUUUAAAAAAAUAUUUGGGACUACGUUUUGUGCAAUCACCUGUCAAUGACAUAGUGUACGUAAAAAUCUUUACGUUUGAUAAGUGCCUUUCAGGUUGGGAAGACGUCUCAAACCUUUUCACAAGAUAUACUGUAGUGACUGUAUUUUGUGGGCAAAUAGUUAGAAAAGUAAUGGAAUCUGGGGGUACGACGCAUUUCGUUAAAAUACACACCAAAUUCCGUAGCUUUUUUUGUGGCAUGAACAUUUCUACACUAGUGGAGUAAAAUCCUUGAACGGUCCUUAUUAACGGGAAGGGCAGUAUUAUUCCUAUUGAAAUUCUUUUCUUAGGCUUUUAACACCAGUUUCAGUGUUAAUGAGUUACAAGUGCACCGUCGAAGGAACCAUUAUGGUAGACUGGGCAGCAGGUUAAGAUUGGGAACUUUUCAUUUUUGACAAAUAUUCAUUUGCUUCAGUUAUCACUGCUUUCAGGCAUAAAUAAGUCUCUUGCAAUGUGUGUGUGUAUAGUCAGAAGCAGCUCCUCUUAUCAGAGAUUAAUUCUCAAUUUAGCAGGAGACUCUUUACUGCGACUGAGUUAUGCCUCGAGGAGUUUAUAAGAUGAAGGUGGCCAACUUCAGCAGGUCACAGAUGUUAGACUUCAGACAUUUUGUCGUAACAAUCCGAGUGUAUUGGAAAGGUACAGCACUUAAAACGUGUGUUCUUUACUUCUUCCAGAUGAAGAUGAAUUGCUGCAGAUGCACAAUUUAAUGAUGUCUGAAUAGUUUAUGGCUGCCAUCAAUGAGUUAUUAUAAGGCUAUCAUUAUUUUUAUUCUUCACGUUUACCGUCAAUGUGUGAUACAAUGGCAUUAAUUCAAUUCAGCAUUAUUUGGUUUAUUUUAAAUUAGCUAAUAAUGUACCACUAUCUUUGCAUUAAUCUUUCUGUGCUGUUGUAUACGUUGCACUAAUGAGAUUUGCGCAAACUGUUCCCGUUAAAGAUCAUUACUGUGACC